CUCUGUGUAUUUCUUGAUAUAGCUGCUAAACAAUUUCUUUUGCUAACAAGAAAUUAAUUGGUAGAUCAUGACUUGAUUAAAUUUGGACAACAUGGCGUCAAAUUGUUAAUAAGAUCUAGAAACCUUUGAAAAUUGUUAAUCAAAGAGUUUAGAAACCUGACGUAUUUAAUUCUUAAUAAUUAUUUUUCACACAAUAAGAUCCGGAAAUAAGUGCUUUUUAGACUUAAAAGCAAGCUCAUCUCAUAAGAAGCAUUACAUUAGACCAUUUGGUUAGUACUGGACAAAAGAUUAACGUACACCACAAGUUCAACAGAAAUGACAAAUUAAAUUAAUAGCAUUUUGGGCCACAAACAUAAAGCCCAAAACUGAUUUGGAAGUAAAUAAUUCAAGGGAAAUCUACAUGCUCCUUUUUUUAAUCUCUGCAUCUCCUUGAAUCCAAAAUCCUGGCAAGAUGAUAGUGAAAUGAGAGAAACAUUUCAAAUAGCAUUCAACCAAUGUAUUUGAUUGCAAGAAAGCACACAGUUAUGUUUUGCGUCCAAGGCAUAUACAGUUAUACUUAAAGUUCGAUCUCAAGCUCAGAAUUAAUAUAGAGCAAUAUUGUAUGAGCACAAUAUUAUUUUAACACUAACAAUCAAUUAUCUUAGAAGAACAUUCUAUGAGUACAAUUAUACUAAAGGAAAAAUAACACAAUUCUUCUAUCAAAUUAACCAACGUGUGAAA